AUUGAACGCUGGCGGCAGGCCUAACACAUGCAAGUCGAGCGAGCGGCGGACGGGUGUGUAAUGUCUGGGAAGCUGCCUGAUGGAGGGGGAUAACGACUGGAAAAGGUAGCUAAUACCGCAUACCAUCGGAUGCACCCAAAGGGGCGUGUCUUGUAGGUGAGGUAACGGCUCACCUAGGCGACGACCCCUAGCUGGUCUGAGAGGAUGAUCAGCCACACUGGGACUGAGACACGGCCCAGACUCCCACGGGAGGCAGCAGUGGGGAAUAUUGCACAAUGGGCGCAAGCCUGAUGCAGCCAUGCCGCGUGUAUGAAGAAGGCCUUCGGGUUGUAAAGUACUUUCAGUGGGGAGGCGUUACCCACAGAAGAAGCACCGGCUAACUCCGUGCCAGCAGCCGCGGUAAUUC
rnacentral:rRNA from 1 species